GUAGGUGGCAAGCGUUGUCCGGAAUUAUUGGGCGUAAAGCGCGCGCAGGCGGUUCUUUAAGUCUGAUGUGAAAGCCCACGGCUCAACCGUGGAGGGUCAUUGGAAACUGGAGAACUUGAGUACAGAAGAGGAAAGCGGAAUUCCACGUGUAGCGGUGAAAUGCGUAGAGAUGUGGAGGAACACCAGUGGCGAAGGCGGCUUUCUGGUCUGUAACUGACGCUGAGGCGCGAAAGCGUGGGGAGCAAACAGGAUUAGAUACCCUGGUAGUCCACGCCGUAAACGAUGAGUGCUAAGUGUUAGGGGGGUUUUCCGCCCCCCUUAGUGCUGCAGCUAACGCAUUAAGCACCCCCCGCCUGGGGAGUACGGCCGCAAGGCUG
rnacentral:rRNA from 1 species